GGUCUUUUUCCUUCUUUUUCUAGUUGUUUUAUUGUUAGGUAAGUUAAAAUAAUUCUUAUGUAAAAAAUAAUUUUAUAUAGAAAUUUAUUUUCUUUAUAAUAGAUUUUAUCAUCAUCAAAAUAGCUUAUAUUGUAUAUAAUAAUUUUCCCACAUUCAUAUUGUGUUAUGAAAGACAAAUCAUAUCAAAAUUAUACUUCCACUUCCUUUAAUUUAGUUUUAGUUAAGCCAUCAUAUCGCACAAGAGAUAUACUUUAUCUGGCAGUACCACUUUUAUUGUUCAUCACAGGCUAACCAACAGUUAUGAUAGGGCCAAUCGGAUUGAUUGAAGGAUGGGGUUCAACGACUCGAACUCGGACUCCUCCUGAAAAACUGGAGCUGUAGGACAUGAACCCAGUCCUUAAAAUGAUAUACGAUUGCUAUACCACGCGGCUAUCUGGAGGAUGUUUAACUUUCCUCAAUCUUAUUUUCGAGUUAUGGAUAUUAUGUUGUUGAUUGGACAUAAAUAAAAAGAAAUCUAAAUAUAACUAAUAUUUACUUGUUGCUAUAAAAAUCUGAACAGAAAUAAAAUCGUCUCAAUUAAAUACUUCAUUCUUCUAGUAAUGAGACUUUUAGGAUAAUCUAUCAUAAUGUUUCCGAAACGUAGAAUGUGUUCCUCUUAGGAGUCUUUUUUAAUGUAACAUUCGAAUCUUGCCGAUUAAUAAAUAGCAAUCGUUUACAAGAUCGAUUUGAGUUCUACUACAGCUACCCGCAUUUACACAUAAAGUGGUUAAAUUUUAUCAACAAAUGAAAAAUAGUUUCCAAUCUGUUGGUUAAUAAGCAGCGGGACGAAUUAUGUUUCUUAAAAAUAGGCCGGAUGGACUGAUAAAUGCGUAUUGUACUUCCAUCCUGGAAUAUCUGGGUUCAAUUCUCGGGUCUCCUAUCUCCAUAAGUUUAUUUCAGGAAGGAUCUGUGUCCAGUUCAUUGAAUUAUAUUUUCCAUCUGACGGCGGCUGACCCAAUCAUAGGGGUGAGAUGUGUGUGGCGGAUACUAGAAUGCUUAACGCUUAAACUCACUGAUUUUGUUAGAUAAGCCGCCAUAAAUUAUGGAUUAUGUUUUAUCUAGCGGCCGCCAUUUUUAGAAUCCAUCAUAGGCUGCCAACAUUAAUGAUAGAGUCAAUCGGAAAGUUUGAAUAAUGGAGAUCAAUGGGCCAAGUCCGGGUCUCUUCUGAAAAACUGGAAGUAUAGGGCCUGGAAUUGAAUUCAGAUCUUCCAAGGUGGCGAGGAAAUUCUUUAUCACAUGGUCAUCCGGCUAACUCUCACUGGAUGAAAAGCUACGUUUAACCACAUAAGGAGAUCCUGUUAUUGGUUGCCCUAUGGAGGGUCGGUCGGACUAUAGAAAGAGGAUAGACGGGCUAGGCUCGGAUUCCCAAAUAAAUUUUCCAAAGAAUAGAACAGAUGGAUAAAAAGCAUAUGCACUAAAUCACGCCAUCAAUCCUGGCACACUGAUACGGCGAAAUCAAUCGGCCUGUACAUGCAAGGAUCGCGGAAGAAGCUAGAACUCCUCAUACAUAUUUUUAAAGUUGUGGAAUCUAAAUUUGAUCCUAAUUCUUCUGAGUGGAAAACCAUAACGUUUCCAUGCAGUCAAUUCGGCCGAUUCCAUAUGAAACUCAUAUAACGCUCUUUAGAGCAACGCAAAGCAGUGCCAAAAAUUGUCAGCAGGCUGGUCAUGCAAUAAAGAGCAGACUUUCUACUUGAAAUAGUUUCAGUUCCCGAUUUCCAUAUCAUCAAAGUUUUUUAGUAAAAACAGGCCCGGCUCAUUGAAUUCUCUCGUCACCUGAUGGUCAUAGCUAAAUGUAUGGGUUGUCCGUGGGACGAAUUCUAGAGUGCUUCGCUGGUUAAUAAGUUCUAACUGAAAAACAGAGUAAAACAACAAAAAAGAAUGAGGAAAAUUAGUGAAAAUUUUAAAAUGCAAUGUUUUGUUGAUUAUAAAAACAAAUGGAUCACGAUUAUAGAAAAGAGAUUCUGCUACAUAAAGUUUAGAGUCACAUUCUUAUGCAUUGCAGACUUAAAUAAAUUUCAUAGAAAGUAAUCUCUUCUAUGAAACAAUUUAAAUAUCAAGAAAAUUUAUUAACAUAAUUAUUUAUAUAAUACUUUAUAAUAAUAUUAGAAGGUAAACAUUAAUUCGGAAUAUAUCCUGUUUAUUGCAUAGAAAAUAUUUUUAUCCGACUGAUUUCUAAAAUUGCAUAAAAUUUAUACCAUAUGAUUUGAAAAUUAUGAAAAAUUAGAUCAUAUUAUUAUAUUAGAUGAGCAUGCAUACACAAAUAAUAUUGUAUAAC
rnacentral:lncRNA from 1 species